rnacentral:rRNA from 1 species
UUUGUGGAGGGUUUGAUUCUGGCUCAGGAUGAACGCUGGCGGCGUGCUUAACACAUGCAAGUCGAACGGGAUCCAUCAAGCUUGCUUGAUGGUGAGAGUGGCGAACGGGUGAGUAAUGCGUGACUAACCUGCCUCAUACACCGGAAUAGCUCCUGGAAACGGGUGGUAAUGCCGGAUGCUCCAACAUUUCACAUGUUUUGUUGGGAAAGCGUUAGCGGUAUGAGAUGGGGUCGCGUCCUAUCAGCUUGUUGGUGAGGUAAUGGCUCACCAAGGCUUCGACGGGUAGCCGGCCUGAGAGGGCGACCGGCCACAUUG